rnacentral:tRNA from 1 species
GUCAGUUUGUCCGAGUGGUUAAGGAGUGAGACUUGAAAUCUCAUGGGCUCUGCCCGCAUGAGUUCAAACCUCAUAGCUGACG